rnacentral:rRNA from 1 species
AAACAAUUUGGACUGGAACUGCGAAGGUCAUUAAANAGUUAUNGUUUAUUCGUAGUACCUUAUACUCGGAAACCGGGUAAUCUAGAGCUAAUACACGCAAAAUCCCGACUUCUGGAAGGGAUGUAUUUAUUAGAUAAAAACCAACCCGGAAACGGUUCUUUGGUGAUUCAUGAUAACUUUUCGAAUCGCAUGACUUUAUGUCGGCGAUGGUUCAUUCAAAUUUCUGCCCUAUCAACUGUCGAUGGUAGGAUAGAGGCCUACCAUGGUUUUAACGGGUAACGGAGAAUUAGGGUUCGAUUCCGGAGAGGGAGCCUGAGAAACGGCUACCACAUCUAAGGAAGGCAGCAGGCGCGCAAAUUACCCAAUCCUGAUUCAGGGAGGUAGUGACAAUAAAUAACAAUCCAGGGCUUUUGUCUUGGAAUUGGAAUGAGUACAAUUUAAAUCUCUUAACGAGGAACAAUUAGAGGGAAAGUCUGGUGCCAGCAGCCGCGGUAAUUCCAGCUCUAAUAGCGUAUAUUAAAGUUGUUGCAGUUAAAUCGCCCGUAGUCGAAUUUUGGGCUGGGCUGGACGGUCGUGCCUCACGGUAUGUACUGUUCGGUCCGGCCUUUCCUUCUGGGGAGACGCCGUGCUCUUAACUGGGUGCGGCGUGGAUCCAGGACUUUUACUUUGAAAAAAUUAGAGUGUUUAAAGCGGGCAUUUGCUUGAAUACAUUAGCAUGGAAUAAUAGAAUAGGACUUUGGUUCUAUUUUGUUGGUUUCUAGGACCGAAGUAAUGAUUAAUAGGGAUAGUUGGGGGCAUUAGUAUUUAAUUGUCAGAGGUGAAAUUCUUGGAUUUAUGAAAGACUAACUUCUGCGAAAGCAUUUGCCGAAGGAUGUUUUCAUUGAUCAGGACGAAAGUUAGGGGAUCGAAGACGAUCAGAUACCGUCGUAGUC